rnacentral:rRNA from 1 species
UGGAAGGCUCGUCCGCUCAGGGUUAGUCGGGACCUAAGCCGAGGCCGAAAGGCGUAGGCGAUGGACAACAGGUUGAUAUUCCUGUACCACCUCCUCACCAUUUGAGCAAUGGGGGGACGCAGGAGGAUAGGGUAAGCGCGGUAUUGGAUAUCCGCGUCCAAGCAGUUAGGCUGGGAAAUAGGCAAAUCCGUUUCCCAUAAGGCUGAGCUGUGAUGGCGAGCGAAAUAUAGUAGCGAAGUUCCUGAUUCCACACUGCCAAGAAAAGCCUCUAGCGAGGUGAGAGGUGCCCGUACCGCAAACCGACACAGGUAGGCGAGGAGAGAAUCCUAAGGUGAUCGAGAGAACUCUCGUUAAGGAACUCGGCAAAAUGACCCCGUAACUUCGGGAGAAGGGGUGCUCUGUUAGGGUGCAAGCCCGAGAGAGCCGCAGUGAAUAGGCCCAGGCGACUGUUUAGCAAAAACACAGGUCUCUGCGAAGCCGUAAGGCGAAGUAUAGGGGCUGGCGCCUGCCCGGUGCUGGAAGGUUAAGAGGAGCGCUUAGCGUAAGCGAAGGUGCGAAUUGAAGCCCCAGUAAACGGCGGCCGUAACGAUAACGGUCCUAAGGUAGCGAAAUUCCUUGUCGGGUAAGUUCCGACCCGCACGAAAGGCGCAACGAUCUGGGCACUGUCUCAACGAGAGACUCGGUGAAAUUAUAGUACCUGUGAAGAUGCAGGUUACCCGCGACAGGACGGAAAGACCCCGUGGAGCUUUACUGCAGCCUGAUAUUGAAUGUUGGUACAGCUUGUACAGGAUAGGUAGGAGCCUUGGAAACCGGAGCGCCAGCUUCGGUGGAGGCAUCGGUGGGAUACUACCCUGGCUGUAUUGACCUUCUAACCCGCCGCCCUUAUCGGGCGGGGAGACAGUGUCAGGUGGGCAGUUUGACUGGGGCGGUUGCCUCCUAAAAGGUAACGGAGGCGCCCAAAGGUUCCCUCAGAAUGGUUGGAAAUCAUUCGCAGAGUGUAAAGGCACAAGGGAGCUUGACUGCGAGACCUACAAGUCGAGCAGGGACGAUAGUCGGGCUUAGUGAUCCGGUGGUUCCGCAUGGAAGGGCCAUCGCUCAACGGAUAAAAGCUACCCCGGGGAUAACAGGCUUAUCUCCCCCAAGAGUCCACAUCGACGGGGAGGUUUGGCACCUCGAUGUCGGCUCAUCGCAUCCUGGGGCUGUAGUCGGUCCCAAGGGUUGGGCUGUUCGCCCAUUAAAGCGGUACGCGAGCUGGGUUCAGAACGUCGUGAGACAGUUCGGUCCCUAUCCGUCGCGGGCGCAGGAAAUUUGAGAGGAGCUGUCCUUAGUACGAGAGGACCGGGAUGGACGCACCGCUGGUGUACCAGUUGUUCUGCCAAGGGCAUCGCUGGGUAGCUAUGUGCGGACGGGAUAAGUGCUGAAAGCAUCUAAGCAUGAAGCCCCCCUCAAGAUGAGAUUUCCCAUUCCGCAAGGAAGUAAGAUCCCUGAAAGAUGAUCAGGUUGAUAGGUCUGAGGUGGAAGUGUGGCGACACAUGGAGCUGACAGAUACUAAUCGAUCGAGGACUU